UUGAGCGAAAUUCCUUGUCGGGUAAGUUCCGACGCGCACGAAUGGCGUAAUGACUGGACAACUGUCUCGGGAAACAGCUCGGUGAAAAUACAAUGGGGGUGAAGAUGCCCUCUACCUGCAGCUAGACGAAAAGACCCCAGGAGCUUUACUGUAGCUUGAUAUUGCGUGUACGUGCUCAUUGCGUAGCAUAGAUGGGAGAGGUUGAGACAUAAAUUUCGGUUUGUGUGGACUCGUCAGUGAAAUACCAUUCUUUGUGUAUGUACAUGCUAACCUGACCGGCAAAAACGGGCGGAGACAGUAUCUGGCAGGCAGUUUAAGUGGGGCGCUUUCCUCCUAAAAAGUAACGGAGGAGUUUAUUAAGGUUGGCUAGGCGCGAAUGGACACCGUGCCGAUAGUGCAAUGGCAAAAGCCAGCUUAACUGCAAGACGUGAAUGUCACGCAGACGCGAAAGCGGAACAUAGUGAACCGACAGUUUGCAUUAGACGCAGCUGGAGAUUAUCUGAUAAAAGUUACCCUGGGGAUAACAGGCUAGUUCUGCCCAAGAGUUCAUAUCGACGGCAGAGUUCGGCACCUUAACAUAUCGGGGUGCCAUACAAGUAAUUGUAUUAGCGAUUGGUAUUAUUCGGGCGCAAAUGAAUCAUUGGCGCUCGGUGAAUAACAAUAAAAAAUUAGUGGCUUAUAACGGUGAACUCCUUAAUAAUGAACACAUUAAGGACAAUGCCGUGGGAAGUUUCUUCACAAGAACGUGAUCAUACAUUCUUUCGAGAAUGUAACGGCACCGACUAUUUAUUUAGUGGUGAUUGUGUUGAUAACCCUGUAGAGACUUGGAACGUGAAGUUCCGGAGUUGUGAUCAUGAGAAGAUCGCAGCUAAUACGCCAACGCCUUUCUUGAUCGAAAGGAUGAAGACAUAGUCCGAACCUUCUGGUAACAGAAGACAAAUACGACAUUGCGAUGUCGGCUC
rnacentral:rRNA from 1 species